rnacentral:rRNA from 1 species
GGGUUGUGAGGUUAAGCGACUAAGCGUACACGGUGGAUGCCCUGGCAGUCAGAGGCGAUGAAGGACGUGCUAAUCUGCGAUAAGCGUCGGUAAGGUGAUAUGAACCGUUAUAACCGGCGAUUUCCGAAUGGGGAAACCCAGUGUGAUUCGUCACACUAUCAUUAACUGAAUCCAUAGGUUAAUGAGGCGAACCGGGGGAACUGAAACAUCUAAGUACCCCGAGGAAAAGAAAUCAACCGAGAUUCCCCCAGUAGCGGCGAGCGAACGGGGAGCAGCCCAGAGCCUGAAUCAGUGUGUGUGUUAGUGGAAGCGUCUGGAAAGGCGUGCGAUACAGGGUGACAGCCCCGUACACAAAAAUGCACAUACUGUGAGCUCGAUGAGUAGGGCGGGACACGUGGUAUCCUGUCUGAAUAUGGGGGGACCAU